UCUGGUGUCAGCCGCCGCGGUAAAACCAGCACCUCAAGUGGUCAGGAUGAUUAUUGGGCCUAAAGCAUCCGUAGCCGGCUCUGCAAGUCUUCGGUUAAAUCCACCUGCUCAACAGAUGGGCUGCUGGAGAUACUACAGAGCUAGGGAGUGGGAGAGGCAGACGGUAUUCAGUGGGUAGGGGUAAAAUCCUCUGAUCCAUUGAGGACCACCAGUGGCGAAGGCGGUCUGCCAGAACACGUUCGACGGUGAGGGAUGAAAGCUGGGGGAGCAAACCGGAUUAGAUACCCGGGUAGUCCCAGCUGUAAACGAUGCAAACUCGGUGAUGCAUUGGCUUAUGGCCAAUGCAGUGCCGCAGGGAAGCCGUUAAGUUUGCCGCCUGGGAAGUACGGACGCAAGUCUGAAACUUAAAG
rnacentral:rRNA from 2 species